AGUAGUCUGUAGUAGUAGAUUUAUGUUUUAUUCCAUUUCUCUAAAUUGGGAAGCAGUUUGCAACUAGAUGGAUGUUUUAUUGUCCAUAUUUAAAAUUCGACUUUGACUCUACAAGCACAGCUUUAGUGCUUCUGGUGACCCGCUCCUAAGACAGUGGCAGGUGGGGGCUUUGACUAGGGCAGUACAUCUGUCCAAACUGUAACGCAGGUGUCCUAAGGUGAGCUCAGGGAGGACAGAAACCACCUGUGGAGCAGAAGGGCAACAGCUUGCAUGACCUUGAUUCCCAGUAUGAAUACAGAUUAUUAAAAUAGGUCCUCAUGAUCCUCCGGAUUUCCUGGGUUUUAAACCUGUGGU
rnacentral:ncRNA from 1 species